UACGGGGGGAGCAAGCGUUGUUCGGAUUUACUGGGCGUAAAGGGCGCGUAGGCGGCCACCGCAAGUCGACUGUGAAAUCUCCGGGCUUAACCCGGAAAGGUCAGCCGAUACUGCGGGGCUAGAGUGCAGAAGGGGCAACUGGGAAUUCUCGGUGUAGCGGUGAAAUGCGUAGAUAUCGAGAGGAACACCUGCGGCGAAGGCGGGUUGCUGGGCUGACACUGACGCUGAUGUGCGAAAGCGUGGGGAGCAAACAGG
rnacentral:rRNA from 1 species